GCCCGGGUGGUGGAAUAGGUAGACACUGGGGACUUAAAAUCCCCUGGCUUGAAAAGGCCGUGCCGGUUCGAUUCCGGCCUCGGGCA
rnacentral:tRNA from 1 species